ACUAUUUUGGCAGAUAAUUGUGGUGGUUUUAGAAGUCAUUUAUGUAUAUAUAUAUUAUAUAUAAAUAGUA
rnacentral:tRNA from 2 species